AUAGUCAACUCUUACUCAACUUACACAUGCAAGUCUCCGCACCCCUGUGAAAACGCCCUUAAAUCCCUUUAGGGAUCAGGAGCUGGUAUCAGGCUCGAUUUUCAGCCCACAACACCUAGCUACGCCACACCCACACGGGCAUUCAGCAGUGAUUAACCUUGUCUAUAAGCGCAAGCUUGAUUCAGUCAGAGUAAACAGAGCCGGCAAAUGUGGUGCCAGCCGCCGCGGCCAUACCACAGGCUCAAGUUGAUUAUGUUCGGCGUAAAGCGUGAUUAAAGCUAAUCUAUAGCUGCAGUCGAAUUAUAAUUAAGAUGUGAAAACCUUUGUUCCUAAGAAGCACAAUAACGAAAGUCA
rnacentral:rRNA from 1 species